UCAGCACAGGCAGAGAGGAAUGGCUGGUCUGAGUCCUCAGAGAAACAACUGCAGACAUCCCCAGAUUUAUCACCCAACUUGGCCCCUAGGGUGCCACCCUGACCUUCAGAAUGGAGCAGAGGGAUAGAACACAAGACUGGCUGCCCUCUGGAACACCUCCAUUGGUCCUCGAUGGUUGGAUACAGGAACUGGGUAGAAAGUCCUUCCCUGCCCUUUGCUUUGGAGAAGAUGAGGAUAGCGAGAUGGGUGUACACCCCAGGAUCCCUGGUGGACUUAUGGACAACAUGAGCCCCAGGUUUUGGGAGCACUUAACACUUCGGCAGGGAUAAGCUCAUGGUUGGGUAAGUGCUGAUCUUCCCAGGAUCUAGUCUUAAAGCCUAAAGAAUUCUCCAGACAGGAAGGCCCAGUCCUCAGCAUCCUGCCCCAUGAAGAUACCACUGUGGGUUGCCCAUGAAGGCUCUGGGUGAUUCUUUUUUGGACCGGCAGUUCCUUGAGUUAGUUAUUAUCCCUUGCAGCAUUGGAGAAUGAGGGACCUGUGGUUCUGAUAGAAGAUUCUAGAGAUGGGCACUCUUGACUGCAAAAAUACCCUGUGACCCCCAGGCAGCAGAUACAAAGAAUCUGAAAACUAAAUUCUGAAUGAUCAAUCCAGGGUCUUGAGAAUGGUGGGAGGUGAUGAGGAGGAUUCAUAAAUCAAACAAAAUCUCCUCAUAGGACUCCCAGGAGCUCUCAGUUUCUGGAAGGUUUUUGUCUAGAAAAGAAGUGGGACCAAGAAAGACAGUUCUUUCUUCUUGGUUUCCCACAUUAAAGUUCCUCCCUUUACACACACACACACCCACACAUGAACUCAUACACCUGCACAGAAUCUCUCUAACCAAGAUUGGCAUUGAAUGCUUCUUGCCUCUGACUCCCCAAGUGCUGGAAUGGCUAGCAUGUACCACACUCCUAUCUUUCAUUUUGUGACUUACUGUGUGGUUGCUGGGAAUUGAACUCAAGACCUCUGGAAUCGCAGACAGUGCUCUUAGCCACUGAGCCAUCUCUCCAGUCCCUUAUCUUUUGCUUUUAACUGAAAAAAAAAAAAAAUUGUGCUUGUGUAAGUUUAGGCAGUACCAAAUGCUGCUAGGAUUUGAAUACAAUAUAGGAUGGUUCAAUCAAGGCUAACAACAUAGUCAUCUCAAAUUUCUAAAAAAAGUUUUGACCAGAACAUUUGAAAUUCAAAUUAAAACAUUCAACAUUUUGCUAAAUUUACCAUGCCUUGCAAUUGAUCUGAAAAGCAAAUAAACAAAGAAGGAGAUCCCAACUUGCUCCUGUUUGAUGUUGCACUCUGGGAUUGCUGCUUCAUCCCCUCCCCCAGCCUCUGGAACCUUCCUCUCUGCUUCUGUGAGUACAGCUGUAGAAAUAAGAAUAGAAAGUGCAUUCUUCUGUGCUGGGCUUAUUUCGUUCAGACAGAGUCCCCCAGCCCCAUCUAUAUGGUUGCAAAUGACAGAAUCUCUUCUCUGUUUUCAAAAAUGUUAGUGACAUGUAUCUGUCGUACAAAGGAGUGGGUUGUUUUAUUAUGUCAGGGAUUUCCAUCAUACUCACCCUCUUCUGCCCUCAUUGUGCCUGUCCCUCCUUUUCUCGAGACACCUCCUUCCACUUUCACAGUGCUUUCAUAGCCCUCCUGUCCCUUCAUCCUCUCCUCAUUCGUUGGCUGGCUUUUUACAUAUUCAUGGGCACACACAAAUAUGUGUGUUUUCGCCGUGUUCAGGUCUCCUUCAUCUCUGUAUGUUUUUACUACGUGUUCUAGGUCAUGAGUGAUCUCUACCUCAGGGGGUACUUCUUCCAAUGAGAUGACAGAACCUCAGUCUGUGUGUGGCAUACAGUACAUGCACUGUGACAUCUAGGAACACAACCCACUGCAACUCCAUGAAAGUCCUAGAUAUUCCAUCAGGGGUCUAAUGGUUCUUUUAGUCAUCCCAUGGGAGGCCUGUAAGAUGGUCUAACCUCAAAGUGGGUCUUCUCCUGGGUGCAGAUAUGGGGAAAAUCAAAUCUUCAAUUCUUAUUUGCCUUAUUGGCCUUGUUCAAGUGUAAUAGACAGAGGCAGCUGUGAGUUGAUUUUAGAGACAGCCCUGUCUAGAGAGCCCCAGGAUUAUGGAGACCCCAGAAAGAAUUUUACUUCUCCUAGAUUUCUCAAACCAACCUACAGGAGACCAGCCUAUAGGGAAGUUUUUUAAGGACC
rnacentral:lncRNA from 1 species